rnacentral:rRNA from 1 species
GGGAACGUACCUUUUGGUUCGGAACAACACAGGGAAACUUGUGCUAAUACCGGAUAAGCCCUUACGGGGAAAGAUUUAUCGCCGAAAGAUCGGCCCGCGUCUGAUUAGCUAGUUGGUAGGGUAACGGCCUACCAAGGCGACGAUCAGUAGCUGGUCUGAGAGGAUGAUCAGCCACAUUGGGACUGAGACACGGCCCAAACUCCUACGGGAGGCAGCAGUGGGGAAUAUUGGACAAUGGGGGCAACCCUGAUCCAGCCAUGCCGCGUGAGUGAUGAAGGCCCUAGGGUUGUAAAGCUCUUUUGUGCGGGAAGAUAAUGACAGUACCGCAAGAAUAAGCCCCGGCUAACUUCGUGCCAGCAGCCGCGGUAAUACGAAGGGGGCUAGCGUUGCUCGGAAUCACUGGGCGUAAAGGGUGCGUAGGCGGGUCUUUAAGUCAGGGGUGAAAUCCUGGAGCUCAACUCCAGAACUGCCUUUGAUACUGAAGAUCUUGAGUUCGGGAGAGGUGAGUGGAACUGCGAGU